CCCUUAGAUGUCCUGGGCCGCACGCGCGUUACACUGAUGCAUUCAACGAGCUUAUAACCUUGGCCGAGAGGCCUGGGCAAUCUUGCUAACGUGCAUCGUGAUAGGGAUAGAUUAUUGAAAUUAUUAAUCUUGAACGAGGAAUUCCUAGUAAACGCAGAUCAUCAAUCUGCGUUGAUUACGUCCCUGCCCUUUGUACACACCGCCCGUCGCACCUACCGAUUGGAUGGUCCGGUGAAGCCUCGGGAUUGUGGUUCUUGCCGCUUUAUUGUGGCGUGACCGCGAGAACUUGUCUAAACCUUAUCAUCUAGAGGAAGGUGAAGUCGUAACA
rnacentral:rRNA from 1 species